rnacentral:lncRNA from 1 species
AUAUACAUGAUUAGUUGAUUGAUAAAUAAAUAAUAAUUUGUGGGAGUGGAAGAGAGAAGCUUGGUGGAUGCGCGUGCAGCUCUCUAUUUGUGGAAUUGUGGUCAUAGUGCUUACUGCUAUCUUAGACCAUCCGCAUCGAAAUAUCAAUAGGAAAUUUCACCCGAUUUUCGAGAAGAAAAAAUAUUAAAAUAAUUGAAUUUUAAUGAACCCAGUUCGUGCAGAUUUGCCGGAGUGAUACCGUUUCGUUACUGUUCUGUGGGCCCCACGACACGUGGCGGCCGCGAUAGGUUCGUUUAUAUAUAUAUAUAUAUUUUAAAAGUGAAACAAAAAAAAAUUAAAAUAAUAAAAAAAAAACAUUAGAAAUCGGGAAUCAUCAGUUCGCUGCUGCUCAUGCUCUUAACCCUUAACCAUUCCUCC